UACAGGGGGUGCAAACGUUGCUCGGAAUCAUUGAGCGUAAAGCGCACGUAGGCGGUUCGUUAUGUCGGAUGUGAAAGCCCUUGGCUUAACCGAGGAAGUGCAUCCGAAACUGGCGAGCUAGAGUACUAAAGAGGAUCGCGGAAUUCCCGGUGUAGAGGUGAAAUUCGUAGAUAUCGGGAGGAACACCGGUGGCGAAGGCGGCGAUCUGGGUGAGAUACUGACGCUGAGGUGCGAAAGCGUGGGGAGCAAACAGG
rnacentral:rRNA from 1 species